AUGCGAUGAGCCGAAUUAACUCGAUUUGAGAGUUUAUUUGCGCAAGAGGAGGUCAUUCUAGUUCGACUAGAAACGCAGGAGCGGACUUUGGCAAUCUGUGUGAACCUUUUUGCCACACUCUUUCUUGAGUGCCUCUAUCCCUACCAAAAUGGUAGGGAUUUUU
rfam:Streptococcus sp. HSISB1 chromosome, whole genome shotgun sequence.